AUGCGAAUAUGCCGAGCAGAGACAAACGCCCGAGCUGGCUUCGACGACGUCUACCUACAUCUACAAUUCUUCUACAUGCACACGUACGUUAUCGACCACGCGGACCACGGCCGUCGCCCCUCCUCGCCUUGUCUGUACUCACCCGGGCGAGGCCACGGCGGCGCGGCAGAGGGGACACGUCGAGCUGAGCCGGAGCCACGCCGCGAUGCACGCCUCGUGGAACCCGUGGCCGCACCCCGGCAGCCGCCGCCCGGCCUCCCGCUCCCCGAACUCCGAGAGGCACACCGCGCACUCCUCCGGCGCGCCCCGGUGGCCCUCCUCGCCGCGCACGAACGCCGGGAGCUGCGACACCGGCGGCGCAGCGCCGCGGAGGGGCCGCGGGACCACGACGACGACGCGGACCGGGGUGGCCGCGUCGACCCGUGCGCUGGGCGCGUUCGCGGCGGCCACCUCCUUGUUGUACACCCAGACGAAGCGCCCCGCGAGGUAGAGGAAGAGGAGCACCGUGCCGGCGGCCGUCAGGCCCGUCGCGCCGGCGCCGGAGAGGCUCCUGCCGACGUGCUGCCACGGGGGGCCAGCCGGAGCGGGGGCGGGGGCGGGGGCGGAGGCAGGAGCAAUGCCGUCCAUGCCCGGCGACACGGCAGAGCGAGAUCGUAUAGGUGGCCAGUUGGGUCCGGGUUUUAA
rnacentral:rRNA from 1 species